ensembl:lncRNA
CCCAAGGGAGACCAGUGGACAUGGUCUGUUUGCCUUUCUACCCUCCAGUGGCCAAAUAAAAGCAAGUGGUUCUACCUAAAAGAAAACUCCCUGUACCUAUCUAUUUACAGACUUAUUAACUGAAAUAGGCAUUUCCUGAGUCCCUUUACUUUACCUUCUCUGAGAAAAAAAGAUAGCUUCAAAGAGACUUAAUGGGUGAACUUGAGACCAGGAACUUCAAAGGAUUUCAACUGAAGGGAAACCCACUAUCUUUUGAGAAAGAAGCUGGAAGAAAAAAGAAGAGCAUUAUGAGAAGCAAAAAGAGAGCAAAUAACAUGUUGUCAAGGAAGUCAAGGGAGAAUGGUUUAAGAAGGAAAGGGUGCAAGGUCAUUUCUGUGGCUUGAACUCCUGGUCCCACAAGAAUCACCUUUAAGCACCUGAAACUGAAGAGGAUAAAACAACACAGAAGAGAAAUACCAACAACAGAAACAAGAAGAAACAGGUAUCAACAUUGCUAAUUAUUACUUGAAAAUUGUCCAGAAUUGUUCAGUCAGUUCAGAAGAUUGACAAGCUAGAGACUGCAGUCGGGCAGAAUGAAGGAUUCAGAGGAGUAGAACCAAGAUUCAGAGAGAGCUGGAGGCUGAAGCUAGCAACAAGAACUCUCGGAACCAAAGAAAGCUAACUGGGCUAUUUUAGAUGAGAC